rnacentral:lncRNA from 1 species
AAAAUGAAUAUUAUUUAUUAAAAUAAGUUUAUUAAUAAUAUGUAGUGAAGUUAUUACAUAAUAAUAGAAUAAAUUAGUGGGAAAAAAAUAAUAAAUAUCAUAUUAUUAUUUUAAGACAAAUAAAAAUAGGAAAUCCAUAGUAAAAAACUGAGGAAGAAUGUUUUCAGACUUGGUUCUCUAAAAUCGAAAUCUUUGCUCUGCAUUAACUGAAUUGUUAAUAAAUCAAUUAUGCAAUUGAAUCAUAAAAUACUCAAAUUACAUUAUUUUGUUUAUCCUGCAAUUGAUUCAAAAGAUCAGAGAAAUAUAACUAAAAGUGUGAGAGAAAUCCUAAAAAUAACAACAUUAACUAUGACAUGCAAAUAAAACUAUAUUAUUAGAAAAUAUAGAAAUGUCUUCAACUUAAUUGUUAAACGCACAAACAGUGACCAUCCACACAUAAUGGUUUUCCAUGAAGGUAACAAUGUGUAGUAAAACAUUGGAGUAGAGUAGUACAAUUACGAGCUGCGAUGGAAAACAAGAACAAAAGAUUUUUAUUGAAAAUGGUAUAAAGUAAUAUGAAUAAUUCAAGAAGGAAACAUUUGAAAAUGGUGAGAAGAAAAAUAUUACCUUCGUCACGAGUUGCAACAAGAAAUAGAGAAAGUGAAAUGACCACAACAUAAAUAAACUUGAAAAUUGUAGUCAUUUUUUUAUUUGCAUCAAACAAACACAGAACAAUUUUAUCAAUUUAU